GCGCCCUUUCGUGUUGCUCAGUCUUUUUCUGUGGGUUUUGUUUUACACUAUCGUUUAAUUUUCGAAUUUUGGGUUUGAAUGUCACUCUCUAUAUAACUAUAUAAUCAUUCAUUUUGACAUUGUAAUUCAGAAAGGAUAACAUAUACGGUGUAAUAUUUUCUUAAUUCAGGACAAACAAGUAUUUACGGACAACUUCUUUAUGACGUAUUUAGAACUUGAAAGCAUACCAAAGGUAUGUGGUCAUAUAAACUGUGUGCUAAUGCAAUUAUAAGGAUUUUAAUGAUUGUUGCUAAAACAAAAAAUAUGGAGAGUUAUUCCUAUUUCGAAUCAUACACGCCAUAUGGAGCAACACGAAGUAAACGCAGUUAAAUUAGAAGUUCAGUAACGACAUCCUUUAUGUUAUCAGUUUGUUCGUUUUGUACUAGUAGAUUUGUAAAAACAAACGAAAUGUUCACUCUUAUUUAUCCUUUAUGAAAUUGAAGCUCG
rnacentral:lncRNA from 1 species